rnacentral:rRNA from 1 species
AUUGAACGCUGGCGGCGUGCCUAACACAUGCAAGUCGAACGGAGUGGCGCACGGGUGAGUAAUAUAUAGCUAACCUGCCCCUUGCUGGAGGACAAUAGUUAGAAAUGACUCCUAAUACUCCUGCAUGGGAUGAGCCUAUAUCGUAUCAGCUGGUCGGUGGGGUAACGGCCUACCUAGGCGAGGACGCGUAACUGGUCUGAGAGGAUGACCAGUCACAUUGGAACUGAGACACGGUCCAGACUCCUACGGGAGGUAGCAGUAGGGAAUCUUCGGCAAUGGGCGAAAGUCUGACCGAGCAACGCCGCGUGUGUGAAGAAGGUCUUCGGAUCGUAAAGCUCUUUUGUUAGGGAAGCGGUAUCUAAAGAGGAAGCACCGGCUAACUACGUGCCAGCAGCCGCGGUAAUAC